UACGUAGGGUGCAAGCGUUGUCCGGAAUUACUGGGCGUAAAGGGCUCGUAGGUGGCCAACUAAGUCAGACGUGAAAUCCCUCGGCUUAACCGGGGAACUGCGUCUGAUACUGGAUGGCUUGAGUUCGGGAGAGGGAUGCCGGAAUUCCAGGUGUAGCGGUGAAAUGCGUAGAUAUCUGGAGGAACACCGGUGGCGAAGGCGGCAUCCUGGACCGACACUGACGCUGAGGAGCGAAAGCCAGGGGAGCAAACGGG
rnacentral:rRNA from 1 species